AACGAACGCUGGCGGCAUGCCUAACACAUGCAAGUCGAACGAGAUCUUCGGGUCUAGUGGCGCACGGGUGCGUAACGCGUGGGAAUCUGCCCUUUGGUUCGGAAUAACAGUUGGAAACGACUGCUAAUACCGGAUGAUGACGAAAGUCCAAAGAUUUAUCGCCAGAGGAUGAGCCCGCGUAGGAUUAGCUAGUUGGUGUGGUAAAGGCGCACCAAGGCGACGAUCCUUAGCUGGUCUGAGAGGAUGAUCAGCCACACUGGGACUGAGACACGGCCCAGACUCCUACGGGAGGCAGCAGUGGGGAAUCUAGGACAAUGGGCGAAAGCAUGAUCCAGCCAUGCCGCAUGAGUGAAGAAGGUCUUCGGAUUGUAAAGCUCUUUUACCAGGGACGAUAAUGACGGUACCUGGAGAAUAAGCCCCGGCAAACUUCGUGCCAGCAGCCGCGGUAAGAC
rnacentral:rRNA from 1 species